rnacentral:lncRNA from 1 species
CACAGCAUAUCAGCCAAACACUUUAAUAAUUCUUAACCUCAAUAAUAUGUCUGGGCUUACUAAACUGUUCUUUCAGAACUUUUUUUAAAUAGCUUAUUUUUAGAGAAACUAUUUUCCUUUGUGUUUCAGUAAUUUAUUGCUAAGUAACAAAUAAUUCCCACAUUUAGUGGCUCAAACAAUAAUUUAUUAUCUCAAAGUAAGUAGAAAAAGUAAUAGUAGAAAAUAGAAUGGGGAACCACUGGUGGGUUUUGAGCCAGGUAGUGUGUGAUUUGAAGUCAUCAGUCCUUUCCCUCUGUAUGAAUUCUAGUUUGUUCUCUUGCCUUUAGUCAUGUAGGUUUAUAUUUUCUAAUUGUGAGACAGAAAAAUUAAUUUUAUAUGAUCAGAGAUAGGAUGCUUCUUUGGGAAGCCUUUUAUUUCAUGUUUACAGAUUGAGAAUUUGUACUUUUUGUUCCCAAAGAGGUCAUACAGAGAGGAGUAACAGCUUUGUCCUAAUUGUUGAUGUUGUACGCCCACCUUCCCUGACCUGGACCGAGGCUUACAUGGAUAGAUAGCUCAAGGAAGAUGGAUGGAUGAUUGGACUGUAGGGAGAGAGACCGUGAAGGAGGGAUCUUUCCCUUUUCAGCAGUGUAUAAAGGAAAGGAAUUUCAACCUGAGGCCUAAGGGAGUAGCCAUGAGCCCAAAGUAGAUCACCUUUCUCCAAGGACUUCAAGACAAAAGUCUGCCUAAGUAUACGGAUGGAAGUAGAAUAGAAAGGGUAAAAGAGAGUGUCAUGUGUCAGGUUAAAGAUCUGGCAUAUUGUCUAGAGGGAAACUGACAUAUAAACUUGAGAGGAAGUUGCUUAAUGGCUUAAAUAUAUGCCAUAUGGCUGGAGCAACUUGAAGCUGUGUUUAUAAUCUCCUUCAGCGGCGUUCAGCCCAUUCCUGAGUGCUCCCAUGAUUGUAAAGAAUGAUUGGCUAUGAUCUUAAGCAGAUUCUUGGGAUGCUCUAGUUCUCUGUGGGGAGGGAACAGAAGGCUGUGUUAUUGUUAGUCUAUGAAUUGAAAAUUCUCUUUCAGAGAAAAUUCUCUUCCUUCUUUUCUUUUUUUCCCUGCUAAGUGGUAAGAACAGAAUAAUGAAGGACAACAGCCAC